rnacentral:miRNA from 1 species
ACUUAGCUUGGAAGUGUUGGAGG